rnacentral:tRNA from 1 species
GCCCGGGUGGCUCAGUCGGUUAAGCAUCCGACUUCAGCUCAGGUCAUGAUCUUGUAGUUCGUGGGUUUGAGCCCCACAUCGGGCU